GACGAACGCUGGCGGCGUGCUUAACACAUGCAAGUCGAACGGAGUCCAGUCUGUAGCAAUACAGAGGAAGACCUAGUGGCGAACGGGUGAGGAACACGUGAGGAAUCUGUCCCGAACUCUGGGAUAACAGUUGGAAACGACUGCUAAUACCGGAUGCCGUCAUUGGAUCGCAUGAUUCGAUGACGAAAGAAUUUCGGUUCGGGAGGAUCUCGCGGCCUAUCAGCUUGUUGGUGGGGUAAUGGCCUACCAAGGCAUCGACGGGUAGCUGGUCUGAGAGGGUGAUCAGCCACACUGGGACUGAGACACGGCCCAGACUCCUACGGGAGGCAGCAGUGGGGAAUCUUGCGCAAUGGGCGAAAGCCUGACGCAGCAACGCCGCGUGCGGGAAGAAGGCCUUCGGGUCGUAAACCGCUUUCAGCAGGAACGAAAAUGACGGUACCUGCAGAAGAGGGUGCGGCCAACUACGUGCCAGCCGCCGCCGUAA
rnacentral:rRNA from 1 species